CGGGGUGCAGCAGGCGCGAAAACUUUACAAUGCUGGCAACAGCGAUAAGGGGACCUCGAGUGCCAGGUUACAAAUCUGGCUGUCGUGAUGCCUAAAAAGCAUUGCAUAGCAAGGGCCGGGCAAGACCGGUGCCAGCCGCCGCGGUAACACCGGCGGCUCGAGUGGUAACCGUUAUUAUUGGGUCUAAAGGGUCUGUAGCCGGCCGGAUAAGUCUCUUGGGAAAUCUGGCAGCUUAACUGUCAGGCUUUCAGGAGAUACUGUCUGGCUCGAGGCCGGGAGAGGUGAGAGGUACUUCAGGGGUAGGGGUGAAAUCUUGUAAUCCUUGAAGGACCACCAGUGGCGAAGGCGUCUCACCAGAACGGACCUGACGGCAAGGGACGAAAGCUAGGGGCACGAACCGGAUUAGAUACCCGGGUAGUCCUAGCCGUAAACGAUACUCGCUAGGUGUCGGCCACGGUGCGACCGUUGUCGGUGCCGUAGGGAAGCCGUGAAGCGAGCCACCUGGGAAGUACGGCCGCAAGGCUGAAACUUAAAGGAAUUGGC
rnacentral:rRNA from 1 species